ACUAAACUAAAUAAAUUCUAUUCCAAAUGAAACUAGGACGAGACUAUAUGUCAUCAACCCAAAACCUAUUUAUAUUUCAUCUCUUCUCUGUCUUUUUUCAUUCCAAUAUAUAUAACAGAAUCAUAUACCCUCUAAUUUUUUUUGUUGGCCGUUACACCGCUUCUUUUCUUCUCCAGAUUUUCUCUCUGCUUAUUCUCUCUGUUGGAAGAUUGAAAUGAGAGUGUUAGAAAAAUCUGGAAAGCGGACAAGCAAGAGUUCACCACUCAAAUAUCAAAAGCUUAUGUUAGCAGAUAAAAAGGGUAAUGAUGUUGAAGCAGUAAUAUUUGGCACUGAAAUUGAUGCUAGAGAAAACACUUUGGAAGUGUUCCACACUUACUACAUCAGCAACGCUUAUGUAAAAAAAACAGCCCCACCUUUCGAUAAAAAGCGAGACUACAAAUAUUCUUGGACAUUGAACUCAAGAACAGAAAUCGAAGAAAUCCAAACAGAAGACAACCAGAUAUCAGCACCAAACUAUGAUUUCAUUCCGUUUAGCGACCUGCAUACACCUAAAGAAUUCAGCAAACCAAUAGGUAUUUACAAUUUGAUUUUUAUAUAUAUGUAUUCCUAUUGACUAACUAUUUAAUAUUUCAAUUUAUUAGAUAUUUUGACUAUUGCUCUCAAAAUGAACCCACCAAAAGAAGUCAACACUCCCUAUGGACUACAUACAAUUCAAGAGAUAUAUUUAAUUGAUGAAAGUUGUAGCUUCAAACCAGUAUGUUUGACGAUGUGGGGGCAUAAAGUUCACGAUGAAUGCUUACAAAUAGCAGAAGUAAUCGAAGAAAGACCCAUAAUAUUGGGAUCAAAACUAAUUGUUCAAACCAAGAGAGGUUUGCAUUAAUUAAACUACUGAUAUUUAAAAGCGAAAAUUCAAAAAUUCAAUUAACACAUACAUUUUGAUUUAGGGCUGUCUCUAUCGUCACGCGACACGAGUACCUUCAAAAUCAAUCCUCAACUCCCCGAAGCAGAAGCACUAAAGGAAUGGUAAUACUCAUAAAAUCAAAUACACAUACUAUUAUAGCUACACAUUUUACAAAAAAAUUUAAAUUUUUGUAUACUAUAUUUAUAAUAAUACUUACUCUAUU